rnacentral:lncRNA from 1 species
UAAUUUCUAUGCUCCUGUAGGCAUAAUUCUACAUUAACCAGAAGAUCAACGUCAGAUUAGGCUGUGUAAAGACGCUUACAUGUGCAAUAUCAUCAGUGUGGGCGAGCCCAGGU